GACCCUAUAGAGUUUAAUAUUUAAUUGAUAAAUUAUUUUUUAGAAUUUAAUAUUAAUUUAUGAAUUAAAUAUUUGAUUGGGGUGAUUGAAAAAUUUAAGUAACUUUUUUUAUAUUUUAACAUUAAUUUAUGAUUAUUUGAUCCAUUAUUUAUGAUUAUAAGAUUAAAUUACCUUAGGGAUAACAGCGUAAUUUUUUUUGAGAGUUCAAAUCGAAAAAAAAGAUUGCGACCUCGAUGUUGGAUUAAAAUUUAUUUUUGGUGUAGAAGCUAAAUUUAUUGGGUCUGUUCGACCUUUAAAAUUUUACAUGAUCUGA
rnacentral:rRNA from 2 species